UACGUAGGGGGCAAGCGUUGUCCGGAUUUAUUGGGCGUAAAGAGCGUGUAGGCGGCCAAGCAGGUCAGCUGUGAAAACUCGAGGCUCAACCUCGAGACGCCGGUGGAAACCCUCAGACUAGAGUCCGGAAGAGGAGAGUGGAAUUCCUGGUGUAGCGGUGAAAUGCGCAGAUAUCAGGAAGAACACCCGUGGCGAAGGCGGCUCACUGGCCCGGUACUGACGCUGAGGUGCGAAAGCGUGGGGAGCAAACAGG
rnacentral:rRNA from 1 species